rnacentral:rRNA from 1 species
UACGUAGGGUGCGAGCGUUGUCCGGAUUUAUUGGGCGUAAAGCGAGCGCAGGUGGUUUAUUAAGUCUGGUGUAAAAGGCAGUGGCUCAACCAUUGUAUGCAUUGGAAACUGGUAGACUUGAGUGCAGGAGAGGAGAGUGGAAUUCCAUGUGUAGCGGUGAAAUGCGUAGAUAUAUGGAGGAACACCGGUGGCGAAAGCGGCUCUCUGGCCUGUAACUGACACUGAGGCUCGAAAGCGUGGGGAGCAAACAGG